rnacentral:rRNA from 1 species
AGCGAACGCUGGCGGCAGGCCUAACACAUGCAAGUCGAACGAACCUUUCGGGGUUAGUGGCGGACGGGUGGGGAACACGUGGGAACGUGCCUUUAGGUUCGGAAUAACUCAGGGAAACUUGUGCUAAUACCGAAUGUGCCCUUCGGGGGUAAGAUUUAUCGCCUUUAGAGCGGCCCGCGUCUGAUUAGCUAGUUGGUUGAGGUAAUGGCUCACCAAGGCGACGAUCAGUAGCUGGUCGGAGAGGAGGAUCAGCCACAUUGGGACUGAGACACGGCCCAAACUCCGACGGGAGGCAGCAGUGGGGAAUCUUGCGCAAUGGGCGAAAGCCUGACGCAGCCAUGCCGCGUGAAUGAUGAAGGUCUUAGGAUUGUAAAAUUCUUUCACCGGGGGCGAUAAUGACGGUACUCGGAGAAGAAGCCCCGGCUAACUUCGUG